CUUGACAUCCAGAGAAUUUAGCAGAGAUGCUUUAGUGCCUUCGGGAACUCUGAGACAGGUGCUGCAUGGCUGUCGUCAGCUCGUGUUGUGAAAUGUUGGGUUAACGUCCGCAACGAGCGCAACCCUUAUCCUUUGUUGCCAGCACGUAAUGGUGGGAAACUCAAAGGAGACUGCCGGUGAUAAACCGGAGGAAGGUGGGGAUGACGUCAAGUCAUCAUGGCCCUUACGAGUAGGGCUACACACGUGCUACAAUGGCGUAUACAAAGAGAAGCGACCUCGCGAGAGCAAGCGGACCUCAUAAAGUGCGUCGUAGUCCGGAUUGGAGUCUGCAACUCGACUCCAUGAAGUCGGAAUCGCUAGUAAUCGUAAAUCAGAAUGUUACGGUGAAUACGUUCCCGGGCCUUGUACACACCGCCCGUCACACCAUGGGAGUGGGUUGCAAAAGAAGUAGAUAGCUUAACCUUCGGGAGGGCGUUUACCACUUUGUGAUUCAUGACUGGGGUGAAGUCGUAACAAGGUAGGCGUAGUGCU
rnacentral:rRNA from 1 species